rnacentral:lncRNA from 1 species
AUAGGUCUAACUUCUCUGAUACAUACUCAACAAAUCAUCUUUUACCUAUAACAAUAAAAGAGAUUAUUUACUAUAACAAAGAAAUUGUUUCAUACUUAUUAAAACACAAAAAAUUGUUUCAAACUUCUAAAUUUGUCAUUGUUCCGUCAAUCAAACUUAGUAAAUUUGUCAUCAUUCAUAAUCAAGAAGAUAAUGAAAUGAUAAAACUUCUAUUGUUUAUAACUUAAGUAGAAUGUAUAUUUAAUCUAAAUAACUAUAACUCAAAUUGAUGGGAUGAGGCUUCUAUUUCUUUGCAAGAAGAUGAUGAACAAAUCGGCGAGAAGGAUACAGGAAAAAUAGAAGAAAACCCAGCAAAGAAACAGAAAAACAUAAACCAAACCUAAAAUUGAGAACCCAAAAAUUGAAACUGAGCUGCCUCUUUCAUAGAGCUUGCAAAAAACAACACAGAAAACCAGCUAGAGAGAUUAAUAUUCACAAAUUGAGAAAGAUGAAAUCUAGAAGAUGAAUUUCGAGAUACAUCACCAUCCACCAUAACCACCACACAUCACCACCACCUCCGAUCUUCAACCAUCCUCACCAAGAAAAAAAAAGCAAAUAAAUGUAUAGAAAGUAAGAUCGAACCAGAGGAAAGAAGUUCCGUCACUGCCGUCGCCAAACACCGCCGUGUUACCGCGAAACACCACCGGAACUCUCUCUUCCAUGGCCGGAACUCUCUGCCUCCCGCCGGAAAAUCUCUCACUCGGCCACUCCCUCACAGGUGGUGGUGGUUGUGAUUGUGAAGGACGAGAUGGAGGGUGAGAAUGUUGAGGGUAUGGGAUUGGGGAAUUGGUGGAAUUCUUUGUUAUCAGAUAGGAUGAAAUCUGUGGGCUGAACCAAAUCUGUGUCUUCAUUCACUUAGUUUACUUGCUGUCAUCUUGUGUUUAGUGGAGCUUUCCAAUUGGUGCAAGGAGAGGUCCAACAGGAUUGAUGCAGGCUGAAUCAUUGCAACCAUAUAGAAGUUUCUAGUUGCCAGCAUGUGGUUUUAUAAGCAUAUAAUAAGUGUCAAUUAAUUAUUGGAUAGAAUAUUAGGGUUACCAAAGGACAAGCAAAUUAGGUUAGAUGAAAUGGAAACCUAGAGGUGGCAUCAUGUGAUUGGGCAACAUGGAAAAAUGUAGGAUAUUGAUUGGGCAAGGAUUUAGGGUUAAGAUUUGGGGCUUGGAAAACCACUCAUCCUUUAGUAUAUAAAGAUUUGGCCCUACUGAUCUAAUAGGCAGGCCAUA